AGGAGACGAUCCCAAAACCAGCAACGUCCCAUACGCGACGGUGAGAAAGGUUGAAUGUCCGUUACCUCCAGCGGACGCUGAUAAAAUCCUCACCAAUAUGUCAUUUUCGAACGGGGGCUGUGAAGCUGGUGAGGAAGAUGAUCAAGUCUACGCCAACACGAGCUUCAUUCGGAACUGAAUGGGGUUCUCAAUCAUCUGUCACCCUGACACACACACACU